GUUCAGUGCAUGAGGAGCAAAGAGUGACAAGAGUGAAGAUUGUGGAUGGAUGGCUUUUGGUCGAAAACUGAAGAGCUUGGAGCUAUAACAGCACUUUGAAGAGCCACCUCUGGGAUAUCUGCUCAACCAUUUCAGCAGAAAAUCUGAUUCCUAAGGCAGUCUCUGACGUGGGUUUCAAAGGACCCGUCUUUGCAAGCCUCCACUUCAAUCUGUUUCUUUUUCCAAAGGAAUAUAGUAUAUUAAUGUUGAAGUGAACUGAAAUUAAAAAGGAAGAUGUGUCAAAUACUCUCAAGCUUCUUCAGGCAUUUUUCAAUCUAGGUUUUUUAUCCACCUCUGCCUUUUCAAGUGAAAAAAAAAAAAAUUGUCAUUAUCUCUUUUCUG
rnacentral:lncRNA from 1 species